ensembl:lncRNA novel transcript
GGCUCAAGCAAUCCUCCUGCCUAAGCUUCCUGAGAAGUGGGGACCACAGUUUUCCUGAAUGUGUCCAAUUUGCACCAUCUCUCCCACAGAGGACAAAUAAAAAAAUCUCGCAUUACUUAAGAAUUAUUUCGUGGCGUGUGUCUCUCCAGACUUUUGUUAUGGUGUCACUACUUGCAAGCUGUGAGUCUGUUUUGAGAACUCUCUCCAUCUCUCCAAAUAAAAACAUAUCAGAACAGUGA